rnacentral:rRNA from 1 species
ACUAACCAGGAUUCCCUCAGUAACGGCGAGUGAAGCGGGAAUAGCCCAGCACCGAAUCCCGUAGCUUCCGGCUGCCGGGAAAUGUGGUGUUUAGCGCUCUCUAUGCGGCGGUGUGCGCUGGCCCGAGUCCUCCUGAACGAGGCUUCGCCCAGAGCGGGUGUCAGGCCUCUACUGGCCGGCGUCGCCGUAGCACGGAUAGCCCUCGGAGUCGGGUUGUUUGGGAAUGCAGCCCAAAGCUGGUGGUAAACCCCAUCUAAGGCUAAAUACUGGCACGAGUCCGAUAGCGGACAAGUACC